rnacentral:rRNA from 1 species
AUUGAACGCUGGCGGCAGGCCUAACACAUGCAAGUCGAACGAGUGGCGGACGGGUGAGUAAUGUCUGGGAAACUGCCUGAUGGAGGGGGAUAACUACUGGAAACGGUAGCUAAUACCGCAUACCAUCAGAUGUGCCCAGAUGGGAUUAGCUAGUUGGUGGGGUAACGGCUCACCAAGGCGACGAUCCCUAGCUGGUCUGAGAGGAUGACCGGCCAUACUGGAACAGAGACAGGGGCAAGACUCCUACGGGAUGCAGCCGUGGGGAACAGUGCACAAGGGGGCCAAGCCUCAUAUAGGCAUGCCGCGUGUAGGAAGAAGGCCUUCGGGUUGUAAAGGACUUUCAGCGGGGAGGCGUUACCCGCAGAAGAAGCACCGGCUAACUCCGUGCCAGCAGCCGCGGUAAUAC